rnacentral:lncRNA from 1 species
UUUUGGGAACAAGUGUUUAUUAGCAUACAGCAAUAGUUCAGCCUAAACAAGCGUUUUAAUGCUAGUAUUGAAACUUGUUGAAACUUUACCUAAAUUCCAAAUUAUCCAAGUUGGCUAUUCAAAAAAACCAUGACCAUCUGGUAUAUAAAGUAAGGAAGAGAGGAAUUCCCUUUAUUUUAAAAAAGGAAUUUAGUUUCUUAAUGGAUAUAGGAAGAAUUGCAAAAUCAUCACAAAUUUUUCUGAAUAUAACUAUAUAGAACUUUCUAGAAAUAAUAAAUCAAUUUUUAAGGAUCCAAAUUCCUUGAGUUUUAGAGGUAAAUACAUCUAAGAGCUAUAUUCCAAAAAUGGUCUGAUAGCUUAACUACUAUGGACUGAGGCUUUACUUUAGGGUGCUUUACCUAUUGCUUUGAAGGAUGCAGUGCUCACUAAAAUGGUCACAAAAGUAACCCAACAAAGGCUUUAACUUGCUAUUUGUACCAUAGGCCUAUUUUGGUGACAAGUACCCCUCCCUACAGAUAGUCAGAUUUUCAGACUCCAAAAUAAUAGUUUCUUUAUUCAAUUAGUCAAGUUGUUUUCAGAUUCUAAACCUGCCUAAAUUAUUGUUUUAAAUUAUAAAAUAUUGAAAUGUGAGAAAAGUUUCAGACAUACUAUUUUUGCUUACUGUUCUAAAUGAAUCAUUGUGACAGACCACAUGCGAUGAAUUCAUACAUUUGUGUCGUGUUUAUAUUUUGAUAACUAUAGCCAUGUUUUUGAACUGCAAUGUCCAUAAUCAGUAAAUGUUUUUGCAAUUAUCAACGUGAAUUCCACAAUUUUAACUUUUUGAUAAAUUUGAUGUGAUUAUUGGGGUACAGAGGAAACUCAUCAUUUAGUUAUACUAGUCUUAGAUUUCCUUUAGCAAAUCUUGAGCAAUACAUAUUUUCAUUGUUUUUUUACUUUUCUGAUUAAAACCCUUCAAUAACCUCCCUUGCCUCAGCAAGGCUCUCUAACUGUGGGAAGGUACCCGUGGGGAUGACACGCAUGCUUGGUAGAGGAAGCCAAAGGGUUAACAAAAUGAAUCUUCUCAUGUGUUCAAAUUAUUAAUAUCUUGAGAAAAAAAAUUUAAAUGUAAGUAUUUUAACAGUAAGGUAUUAUGGAACAAAUGAUAAAAUUAGUAUUUUAAAGGUAUACAACUGACCCUUGAAUAAGGGGGUUAGGGGAACUCACUCAACUUGCAGUUGAAAAUCCAUGUAUAACUUUAUACAGUCAGCCUUUCACAUCUGCAGUUCUGCAUCCUCAGAUUCAACCAACUGUAGAUGAUACAGUACUGUAGUAUGUAUUUAUUGAAAAAAAAUAAGUGGACUCACUCAGUUCAAACCCAUGUUGUUCAGGGGACAACUGUAUUUUAUCAUUUGCUUUUUAGGGCAGCACCCUCAGCAUAUUAAGGUUCCCAGUCUUGGGGUCAAAUCAGACUUGCAACUGCCAGCCUAUGUCAGACACAGUAACUCGGGAUCCAUGCCACGUCUGCGACCGACAUCAUAGCUCACGGCAAUGCCAGAUCCUUUACCCACUGAGCAAGGAUCUGGUUGUUGCUGUGAGCUGUGGUGUAGGUUGCAGACCUAGCUCGGAUCUGACUUUGCUGGGUCUGUGGCAUAGGCUGGCAGCUGUAGCUCGCAUAACACCCCUAGCCUGGGAACCUCCACGUGCUGAGGGAGUGGCCCCAAAACAAGCAAAAAAAUAAUAAUAAUAAUAAUAUUUAUCUUAUAUCCACAUGUAAACCAGUAAUAAUAAUAACUGUUUAGCAUAUACAUUGGGUCUGUUCACACUAUUUAGUAAUCUUCUUUUACUUAAUCAUGAACAACUUUCUAGCUCAUUAAAUAUUCAGUACAUUAUUUUAAAUAGCUGCACAGUAUUUCGCUCAGCACGUUAUUUAAUCCGUCUUUUAUUGUUGGACAUUUAAAAAACUCUUCCAACCUUUUAAUAUUGUAAACAACACUAACGAACACAUGGAUCACCUCUUAAAUGAGUAUAUUUAUUAGUAGUUUUUAUAAUAUUAGAAAAUUGAAUGAGACUCCAUUAAUCUUUUAUUGUGCUAAAAUCCUAGAAAUAUGACUUCCAUAUUCUAUUUUAUGUGAAAUAUAUAUAUUCAUAUAACUGAGAAAAAAAUCAACUAUACAUUGCUUCUCUGCAUAAAAUACUUGAAUUUGAUAUUUAAGCUGGUAUUCUGAAGUUCUGGAUGUCCUAGUCCACCUGCUUAUUGUUUCUUAAAUUUUUUUCAUAUUUUGCAUACAUUUAUAAAGGUUAAUAUACAUGAAUAAAUAAAGUGAAUUAAUGAUAGAAAUGUUAUACUCCUCAUCUGUGUUAAGUGAGAGAAAAAGGUUAAGAGCUAUAGGUUUAAACUGUUCAAAUCAUGGAAAAGAGGGAUGAUGCCAGACAGUUAAAGUCAGGAAACAGCACACACAAAAGGUUUGACCUGCUUUUUAAAAAGUAGAGGAAUUAGUUGGGGGAAAGUUGGGGUGGUGAAAGGGCAUAAAUAAAGGAACAGAGAUAGAAAAACAGAUGGAACAGGACUAGUUUCCUUGAAGGAAAAUGGAAAAACUCAAGAAAAGGUUGCAACACGACCAUGAAGUACAAGUUAAGAGGUCUGAAUUUUAUCCUAUUGGCAAAAGCAGUGUUUUACUAAGAAUAAAUUAGUGGGAUAUAUUACAGUGGGUAAAAUAAUUACAGGCAAAAAACUCCUCAGCUAAAGUGCUAACAGAGUAAGUGAGAAAUACGGCGGGAAUUCCAAGGAUGGAGGAGUCAAAGACAACUGUGGUUCGUUUGGGUAAAUGACAAAUGUGAACAUGUUCAUUGUCUCUUGGAGCUUUUACUAGCUAAACCAAGCAAGUGAAAAACAAUUUCAGAGCCAUCAAAGCACAAGUCAUAAACAAACGCCUGAUCAUCACACAUAUACCUAUUAGCCAAUCAUUUAAACAUUUUAUGUUCUAAACGGUCUCAGAUGGAGAUUCUAAUCAUGAGUCAGAUUCUUAAAAAUACUCAUUUCUAUCUACAAAGGUCAUAUAGGCUGAGGCACAUACAACUGUUCUCUCAAAGUAUGGAAUAAAGUUUAAUCUGUAGAUUAAAGUAGAGCUUAAACAGCCAUAAGAUCUGGUUCCUAUAAACUUUGAUUCUUAAGCUGUGAUUCCCCCUCUUGUAUAUUUGAUCACAGCCAUCCAGAUCUUCUCGCUGCUCUUUUAGGUAAACACCAAAAACAUUUCAGCCUCAAGGGCUUUGUAGUUGGGAGUUCCUCUGCUUGAAAGGCUCUCUUCCCAGAUACCCAAUGGUUUGCUCCCUUACUUUUAGGUCUUUAUUCAGAU